AACGAACGCUGGCGGCAGGCUUAACACAUGCAAGUCGAGCGCCCCGCAAGGGGAGCGGCAGACGGGUGAGUAACGCGUGGGAAUCUACCGUGCUCUACGGAAUAGCUCCGGGAAACUGGAAUUAAUACCGUAUACGCCCUACGGGGGAAAGGUUUAUCGGGGUAUGAUGAGCCCGCGUUGGAUUAGCUAGUUGGUGGGGUAAAGGCCUACCAAGGCGACGAUCCAUAGCUGGUCUGAGAGGAUGAUCAGCCACAUUGGGACUGAGACACGGCCCAAACUCCUACGGGAGGCAGCAGUGGGGAAUAUUGGACAAUGGGCGCAAGCCUGAUCCAGCCAUGCCGCGUGAGUGAUGAAGGUCUUAGGAUUGUAAGCUCUUUCACCGGUGAAGAUAAUGACGGUAACCGGAGAAGAAGCCCCGGCUAACUUCGUGCCAGCCGCCGCGGUAACAC
rnacentral:rRNA from 1 species